GACGAACGCUGGCGGCGUGCCUAAUACAUGCCAGUAGAACGCUGAAGGAGGAUCUUGCUCUUCUGGAUGAGUUGCGAACGGGUGAGUAACGCGUAGGUAACCUGCCUGGUAGCGGGGGAUAACUAUUGGAAACGAUAGCUAAUACCGCAUAAGAGUAGAUGUUGCAUGACAUUUGCUUAAAAGGUGCAAUUGCAUCACUACCAGAUGGACCUGCGUUGUAUUAGCUAGUUGGUGGGGUAACGGCUCACCAAGGCGACGAUACAUAGCCGACCUGAGAGGGUGAUCGGCCACACUGGGACUGAGACACGGCCCAGACUCCUACGGGAGGCAGCAGUAGGGAAUCUUCGGCAAUGGACGGAAGUCUGACCGAGCAACGCCGCGGGAGUGAAGAAGGUUUUCGGAUCGUAAAGCUCUGUUGUAAGAGAAGAACGAGUGUGAGAGUGGAAAGUUCACACUGUGACGGUAUCUUACCAGAAAGGGACGGCUAACUACGUG
rnacentral:rRNA from 1 species